AGGAGUGCCUGGUAUGGAGGAGCUUUUUCUUGGCCUGGUGGUGCAGUAGUUGUGUCAGUUCUGUGCGUUUGGUUAUGAGGGUGUUAUAGGUUGAUAGGGAACUAUCCCGGGUAUGAGUAUGUUCAAGGACUCUGAUUUCUCGUGUGAGCGUGUCUAUUUUCUGUGUUCUCCUUUUUUUGAGAGUGGCCGCUAUUGCUAGGAAUUCUCC